rnacentral:lncRNA from 1 species
GGAGUCCCUUACCUUCGCAGCAGCAGCUCUUAAUUCUUAACACAGCGGUCUUCACUCCACUACCUCUCAAUUAACCUUCAUAAUUAAAUAUUAACUCACUUAGUUUCAUAUCUCAUUAACUCUAGAUUUUGACUCAAAACUUGGGCUUUACUAGAUUAUAGUCUGCUAUUAGUCUACUACUUAAUGUUCCAAAUAUCCAACAUUCUUAAAAUAUCCCUAAACAAUAUAAGAGUACUACUUCUAAAACAGGGCCAUAUACUCCAAUUUUUAACAGUACAAGUGCACUAGUUAAUUUUAUAGGUUUGUAAAUAAAAUUAAGUGCAGGUAGUUUAGCCAAUAAAUCAACUGUUCCCUUAUUUUAAAACACAAACCGAUCAAUUUGAUGAGCUGAGAUACAACACUGCUUCACUGUUAACACAACCACUAACAUCAGCCUGCACUAAAACUACUAGUUUGUAAAAAUAACUCAAUUAAUCCACACUUAACUAUAUCUAAAACAACAAGAUAACAAUUAAUACAAGGCUUAUUCCCUUGAUGCUUAGUUAGAAACUAACAAUUAUCCUGGCCAUGGAUUGGGUUCAAACGAGAGAAAAUUAUCUCGGCACAUUUAUAUUUCCUAAAUUAAGGUUACCAACAAUUAGGAGGUAUGUUUGACAUCAACCUACAGUGAUUUAAAUAUAUAACUCCAUCGGUUUAAUAGCACUAAAUCCAAAGGGACAUUAAGAGUAUGAGUUGUGUUCUUACUUGUGGUGAGAAACUUAGAUGAUGACUCCUACAAUUUGAUCUUUCCUUGAUUCACCCCCUUCUUUCUAUGCUCUCUCUGUGUUUUCUGUAUGAAUAUUUGUUUCUCCCAAAAGUGUGAAGUAACGGGGAACUUACCAGUACUAAUAACUCCUAUAAUAACUCCCUCCUAAAUAAUAGAGACUGGUGGAAGAUUAUUGUUUUACUUCCCAAGCCGAGUCAGCUAUUAUUGAAUC